GCCCAAGUGGCGAAAUUGGUAGACGCGCUAGCUUCAGGUGCUAGUAUACUGUAAAGUUUGGAAGUUCGAAUCUUCUCUUGGGCACCA
rnacentral:tRNA from 1 species